rfam:Oikopleura dioica, whole genome shotgun assembly, reference scaffold set, scaffold scaffold_77
GGUGAGAUAGUGUAGUGGUUAACACACUAAGCUGCGCAGCACAGAGCCCUAGGUUCAAUUCCUAGUCUUACCA